GGAAGCGAACCGGCCGGAUCAGGAAACUGUCUUGAAAACAGCUGCCCUCGCACAGGGUUGGGGGUUCGAGUCCCUCCGCUUCCG
rnacentral:tRNA from 1 species